GAUGAACGCUGGCGGCGUGCUUAACACAUGCAAGUCGAACGGAACGGCCAGUGCUUGCACUGGUACUCGAGUGGCGAACGGGUGAGUAGCACGUGGGUGCUCUGCCCUGUACUUCGGGAUAAGCUUGGGAAACUGGGUCUCAUACCGGAUAGGACAACUUUUUGUUUAUUGUUGUGGCAAGCUUUUGCGGUAUGGGUUGAGCUCGCGGCCUAUCAGCUUGUUGGUGGGGUAAUGGCCUACCAAGGCGUCGACGGAUAGCCGGCCGGAGAGGGUGGACGGCCACAAGGGGACUGAGAAACGGCACAGAGUCCUGCGGGAGGCAGGAGGGGGGAAUAGUGCAUAAUGGGCGCAAGGCGGAUGCAGCAACGCGGCGUGGGGGAUGAAGGCUGACGGGUUGUAAACUCCUAUCGCUAUUGACGAAGCUUUUUUGUGACGGUACCUGGAGAAGAAGCACCGGCUAACUACGUG
rnacentral:rRNA from 1 species